CCCCGGGCUGCGCCCGGGGCUACAUUCUAACGCCGCUCCGCGGCU
rnacentral:sRNA from 1 species